rnacentral:lncRNA from 13 species
GUAUGUUAAGUCAGGGUAUGUUAGUCAAGGUAUGUUGGUCAAGGUAUGUUAAGUCAGGGUAUGUUAGUCAGGGUAUGUUAGUCAAGGUAUGUUGGUCAAGGUAUGUUAAGUCAGGGUAUGUUAAGUCAGGGUAUGUUAAGUCAGGGUAUGUUAGUCAUGGUAUGUUAGUCAGGGUAUGUUUCGUCAGGGUAUGUUAGAGUAUGUUAAGUCAGGGUACGUUAGUCAGGGUAUAUUAGGGAAUGUUAAGUCAGGGUAUGUUAGAGUAUGUUAAGUCAGGGUAUGUUGGCACCAUAGGCCGUGUUGAUCUUUCCGUGUGAAUUAAAGGGAAUAUAUGGUAAUUAAAGGAAAUAUAUACAAAUUGAUUUUAAUACUAUUUAAAUGUAGAUGUUUUUUGCAUUGGAUAUAUUUACCAUAUGGAGACAGAAACAUAAACCUUUUACUUUAUAAUAAGAGGACAUCAUUGCAAUUAUCAAAUCCUUCAAAUAGAAAUAAAAACAGCAAAUUAGUUACAAAUUGAACUUUAACUAAAUGAGUUUACUCGUCACAUGGGAUGAUUUCACUGAUCAACAAAAUAAAGGGUCCCCAAGGAUCCAUCACAUCUCCCAAAAACGUUUUCAACAUACAUCUGUGAAAUUAUAGUCUAGAAACUAAAGCUUUGGUUGUCUUCCUCUCGGGCUUCCAUGUCUUCUCCCUGGACCUACUCAAUGUCCACCUCUUGAACAUCAGACUCUGAGGCCUCAUCUUCACGGUCACUUUCCAACCUUGUUGAGGAUGGCUCGUUGUCAGGCUCAAAAAGCCUCACAUUUACCCGAAUGACCACCAAUAUUUCAACCCGUGUAUUGGUCAGUCUGUUUCAUGCUUUGGUGUGUGUGUUCCAGUUGCGCACUGAGGCGGCUGAUGUUGGUGGGAUUUGGAGGAUGAUGGAGGCAAAGAGCCUCCGAUCCACAAAGUCCCUUC